rnacentral:lncRNA from 1 species
GCUGGAUGUUCAGGCAAUGCACAAGCCAAUUUCUUAUAAUAAUACCUUAAAAUUUUCAGAAAAUUCUAAAAAAACGAAAAAUGCACCAAGUGCUUUAUGGGAAUUAAUUUAGUGGUUUUAAUUUAGCGAAACGGUCGCGGUGCACUGGUCCCAGGCGCUGUGCGUGCUGGGCAGCCUGGGCUGCUGUGGCGGACGAGGAGAUGGGCCACGGGAGAGGGAAGGCUCAAGGGAAAAGAAAAGAAAGAGAGGAGGGGAAGGCCCAUGGGAAAAGAGAAGAUGGGCUGGGAGAAU